AUUGAACGCUGGCGGCAGGCCUAACACAUGCAAGUCGAGCGGAUGAAGGGAGCUUGCUCCUGGAUUCAGCGGCGGACGGGUGAGUAAUGCCUAGGAAUCUGCCUGGUAGUGGGGGAUAACGUCCGGAAACGGGCGCUAAUACCGCAUACGUCCUGAGGGAGAAAGUGGGGGAUCUUCGGACCGCACGCUAUCAGAUGAGCCUAGGUCGGAUUAGCUAGUUGGUGGGGUAAAGGCCUACCAAGGCGACGAUCCGUAACUGGUCUGAGAGGAUGAUCAGUCACACUGGAACUGAGACACGGUCCAGACUCCUACGGGACGCAGCAGUGGGGAAUAUUGGACAAUGGGCGAAAGCCUGAUCCAGCCAUGCCGCGUGUGUGAAGAAGGUCUUCGGAUUGUAAAGCACUUUAAGUUGGGAGGAAGGGCAGUAAGUUAAUACCUUGCUGUUUUGACGUUACCAACAGAAUAAGCACCGGCUAACUUCGUG
rnacentral:rRNA from 1 species